GUGCUCACCUCGGCAGGGCUUACACUAAACUUGGACCAACACAGAGAAGAUUAGCGUGGCCCCUGUGUGUGGAUGACAUGCAAAUUCAUGGAAGCAUUCCAUAUUUAA
ensembl:snRNA U6 U6 spliceosomal RNA